AAUCAUGGCUCAGGAUGAACGCUGGCGGCGUGCCUAACACAUGCAAGUCGAGCGAAGCGCUUUGCUUAGAUUCUUCGGAUGAAGAGGAUUGUGACUGAGCGGCGGACGGGUGAGUAACGCGUGGGUAACCUGCCUCAUACAGGGGGAUAACAGUUAGAAAUGACUGCUAAUACCGCAUAAGACCACAGCACCGCAUGGUGCGGGGGUAAAAACUCCGGUGGUAUGAGGUGGACCCGCGU
rnacentral:rRNA from 1 species